UACGUAGGGUGCGAGCGUUGUCCGGAACUACUGGGCGUAAAGAGCUCGUAGGUGGUUUGUCGCGUUGUUCGUGAAAACUCACAGCUCAACUGUGGGCGUGCGGGCGAUACGGGCAGACUAGAGUACUGCAGGGGAGACUGGAAUUCCUGGUGUAGCGGUGGAAUGCGCAGAUAUCAGGAGGAACACCGGUGGCGAAGGCGGGUCCCUGGACGAUUCCUGACACUGAGGCACGAAAGCCAAGGGAGCAAACAGG
rnacentral:rRNA from 1 species